GCUGUGAGGUGUACUCUCCACAGUGUUGAGGGGGGAAGAGCAGCCAUGAGGGGGCAGAGUUUCUUUAUUACUGUUUUAUUCACAGAUCAAAAGCACAGCUCUGUUUGGGCUUGAGAGACACUGGGGUGACCUCUCAUGUCCUUCUAAUUCCUGUUGCCACUGACUUCUUCUCUUCCAGCUGAUUUCCUGGUGAUACCUGCUCUCCAAGGUGAAAGCUGCUUGCCUCUGCAAAGUUUGCAAGUUGAGAAGACAGUAGAGAGUCAGCUGGCAAGAUGGAAGUCAUGAUCCAACCAACAUCACCGCUGCCACAUUUUAUUGGUUAGAAGAUAAUUCCAGGUCUUGCCCACACUCAUUGGGAGGAGAUUCCACAAGGCCAUGUGGACCAGAAGAUGGAGACCAUUAGGCCUUAUUAUAAUCUGUAUGGGGAUGUUCCAGGUGACAGAUGGCAGGCAUGGAGGGUAGCACAGUCUCUGAACUGGUUGUGUUCAUACACAGGCUGCACAGUCGCUGACCAAGAUGAUUAUAACUCUGGGUUCCAUGUUGGACAAGAUGAUCUACAGAGCUGAGCUGUGUUAUCAAAGCAGGGUCCUAGAUACAAGAUUCACACUGUGAUUUGGAAAGCCCUGUCUCCACUUUGUUGAACCUGAGAGGUCAUCUUCUCUGAUCAUUUCCCCCUUUACUUUUCAGACCUUCUAAACUCUAGAAAAGUACCAUCACUAAACUGAACUGUUUUGUUUUGU